GAUGAAGAACGCAGUGAAAUGCGAUAAGUAGUGUGAAUUGCAGAAUUCAGUGAAUCAUCGAAUCUUUGAACGCACAUUGCGCCCCUUGGUAUUCCAUGGGGCAUGCCUGUUCGAGCGUCAUUUGUACCUUCAAGCUUUGCUUGGUGUUGGGUGUUUGUCCAUUCUCUUGCAGAGGGACUCGCCUUAAAGUAAUUGGCAGCCAGUGUUUUGGUUUUGAAGCGCAGCACAAGUCGCGAUUCAACGCUAUACGCCAGCUUCCACAAGCCUUUUUCACUUUUGACCUCGGAUCAGGUAGGGAUACCCGCUGAACUUAAGCAUAUCAAUAAGCGGAGGA
rnacentral:misc_RNA from 1 species